UUGUAAACUCCUUUUAUCUGGGAAGAAAUCCAUGUAUUCUUAUGUGGUUGACGGUACCAGAGGAAUAAGCACCGGCUAACUCCGUGC
rnacentral:rRNA from 1 species